UACGUAGGGUGCGAGCGUUAAUCGGAAUUACUGGGCGUAAAGCGUGCGCAGGCGGUUCGUGAUGUCUGAUGUGAAAGCCCCGGGCUUAACCUGGGAAUGGCAUUGGAAACUAGCGGGCUGGAGUGUGGCAGAGGGGGGUGGAAUUCCACGUGUAGCAGUGAAAUGCGUAGAUAUGCGGAGGAACACCGAUGGCGAAGGCAAUCCCCUGGGCCUGCACUGACGCUCAUGCACGAAAGCGUGGGGAGCAAACAGG
rnacentral:rRNA from 1 species